UACAGAGGGUGCUAGCGUUAAUCGGAAUUACUGGGCGUAAAGCGUGUGUAGGUGGUUAGAUAAGUUAGAUGUGAAAUCCCCGGGCUUAACCUGGGCAUUGCGUUUAAGACUGUUUAGCUAGAGUACUGUAGAGGAUAGUGGAAUUUCCAGUGUAGCGGUGAAAUGCGUAGAUAUUGGAAGGAACACCAGUGGCGAAGGCGACUAUCUGGACAGAUACUGACACUGAGACACGAAAGCGUGGGGAGCAAACAGG
rnacentral:rRNA from 1 species